UUGAAUUAGAACCUACUGUACAAGGUUUGAAUUAGAACUUAAUGUACACGGUUUGAAUUAGAACCUACUGUACAAGGUUUGAAUUAGAACUUAAUGUACACGGUUUGAAUUAGAACCUACUGUACACGGUUUGAUUUAGAACCUACUGUACACGGUUUGAAUUAGAACCUACUGUACACGGUUUGAUUUAGAACCUACUGUACAAGAGUUAAACGUUGGGUCUACUACUUCGAUCGUGAUUUUCCCUCGUUCAUGUGGUAACAUUUUUUAAAUAAAGACGGAGACAACUGAGUGAAUCACUGCGGGGAGGGAGGACAACGUUCUCCAGUAAGAGUGAGUGUAGUGGGGAGAGUGGGGGGAGGACGUGUCUGUUUGUGUUGGGGUCAGGGGGCCUGCCAGGCGGCAGAGAGCAGAAAGAGAGAAGCUUUUUCAAAUGGAUAGCAGCUGGCAUACAGACUGGGAGGCAGCCAACAUGUAGCCCAGGCAAAUGUCUUUAUAAUCUCUGAACAAGACUGUUAUUUAACUGUAAUGUAGUCUAUUGAUAGCACCACAUGUCUCAUUUGAAUGUACAUUGUGACCUAGAUGAUGAGAAGAACUUAUUUUUUUAUAUGUGAAUAUGUGUUUGUUUUGCUACUAUUUCACAAUAUAAUUUAUUGUUGUGUCAUUGUUAAUAUUUACUUCAGAGAGACUCAAGGCACAGACCUUAGGAAAAUGAAGAACCACAAGCAGCGUAAUUAAUGUAUUUUUAUGAAGAUGACUGUUACAUUUUCUUGUACACUAAAACAUUUCUUUAGGGGCAAUGCAAUGAAACCUUUUGGGAAACCCCUAUAUGAAUUCCUUAAGGAAAACAUUUGUAAGGGUAUUUUUGAAGAACUAAUUUUAGUGGUUCCUCAAAUAAAAAAUUUAGGAACCUACAACAAAAUCAUCCCCAAAAGGUUCUUUGAGGGACCAUUUAAAAGGGGUUCUUUGAAUAACUUAGAGGCUGCCCCAGUUUCAAUUUAAAGAACCCCUGUAUAUUCCCCCUUCAAAUGUCUCACUCUGGUCCCUCCUAAAACCCAUAUGACUUUUGGUUGUCAUUUGUGUGUGCCACUGCGCUGUAAAAAAUUACAAAACCCCCUGAGUUUGACACAUUCAUCACACCGCACUCCUUCACAAAUAUACUAGUUUCUAUGUGAUCAAUCCUCUCGUUGAAUCUGCCAAACCUAUCUGUCCAACGCUUUAUUUAAUGUAAUUUCAAGUCCAUUGUCUGUUCCCUUGUAUAUAUUGUUGUUAAUUUGUAUUUAUUUUGUACAUUAUUCAUGUUCUGUGUGUUGUCUUGUCUCUUGCAAUUAAUUUCCUUUGGCCGGG
ensembl:lncRNA